CCUACGGGAGGCAGCAGUGAGGAAUAUUGGUCAAUGGACGCAAGUCUGAACCAGCCAUGCCGCGUGAAGGAUGAAGGCGUUUGCGUUGUAAACUUCUUUUACCAGGGAAGCGGUACCUGAGGAAUAAGCACCGGCUAACUCCGUGCCAGCAGCCGCGGUAAUACGGAGGGUGCAAGCGUUAUCCGGAUUUACUGGGUUUAAAGGGUGUGUAGGCGGACUUUUAAGUCAGCGGUGAAAUCUCCGGGCUCAACCCGGAAACUGCCAUUGAUACUAUUGGUCUUGAAUGUUGUUGAGGUGGGCGGAACGGGUCAUGUAGCGGUGAAAUGCAUAGAUAUGACCCGGAACACCGAUUGCGUAGGCAGCCCACUAAGCAACAUUGACGCUUAGGCACGAAAGCGUGGGGAUCAAACAGGAUUAGAUACCCUUGUAGUC
rnacentral:rRNA from 1 species